UAAGGAAUAUUGGUCAAUGGACGCAAGUCUGAACCAGCCAUGCCGCGUGGAGGAUUAAGGCCCUCUGGGUUGUAAACUCCUUUAAUCUGGGAAGAAAUGUACUUUUUCUUGAGUACUUGACGGUACCAGAGGAAUAAGCACCGGCUAACUCCGUGCCAGCAGCCGCGGUAAUACGGAGGGUGCAAGCGUUAUUCGGAUUCACUGGGUUUAAAGGGUGCGUAGGUGGGCAGGUAAGUCAGUGGUGAAAUCUCCGGGCUUAACCCGGAAACUGCCGUUGAUACUAGUUGUCUUGAAUAUUGUGGAGGUAAGCGGAAUAUGUCAUGUAGCGGUGAAAUGCUUAGAUAUGACAUAGAACACCAA
rnacentral:rRNA from 1 species